rnacentral:rRNA from 1 species
UAAAAAGGGGGAGCCUUACCAUGCAGUCGAACGAUGAACCACUUCGGUGGGGAUUAGUGGCGAACGGGUGAGUAACACGUGGGCAAUCUGCCCUGCACUCUGGGACAAGCCCUGGAAACGGGGUCUAAUACCGGAUAUUGACCUUCACGGGCAUCUGUGAGGUUCGAAAGCUCCGGCGGUGCAGGAUGAGCCCGCGGCCUAUCAGCUUGUUGGUGAGGUAAUGGCUCACCAAGGCGACGACGGGUAGCCGGCCUGAGAGGGCGACCGGCCACACUGGGACUGAGACACGGCCCAGACUCCUACGGGAGGCAGCAGUGGGGAAUAUUGCACAAUGGGCGAAAGCCUGAUGCAGCGACGCCGCGUGAGGGAUGACGGCCUUCGGGUUGUAAACCUCUUUCAGCAGGGAAGAAGCGAAAGUGACGGUACCUGCAGAAGAAGCGCCGGCUAACUACGUGCCAGCAGCCGCGGUAAUACGUAGGGCGCAAGCGUUGUCCGGAAUUAUUGGGCGUAAAGAGCUCGUAGGCGGCUUGUCACGUCGGUUGUGAAAGCCCGGGGCUUAACCCCGGGUCUGCAGUCGAUACGGGCAGGCUAGAGUUCGGUAGGGGAGAUCGGAAUUCCUGGUGUAGCGGUGAAAUGCGCAGAUAUCAGGAGGAACACCGGUGGCGAAGGCGGAUCUCUGGGCCGAUACUGACGCUGAGGAGCGAAAGCGUGGGGAGCGAACAGGAUUAGAUACCCUGGUAGUCCACGCCGUAAACGGUGGGCACUAUGUGUGGGCAACAUUCCACGUUGUCCGUGCCGCAUCUAACGCAUUAAGUGCCCCGCCUGGGGAGUACGGCCGCAAGCUAAACUCAUAGGAAUUGACGGGGGCCCGCACAAGCGGCGGAGCAUGUGGCUUAUUCGACGCAACGCGAAGAACCUUACCAUGCUUGACAUACACCGGAACGGCCAGAGAUGGUCGCCCCCUUGUGGUCGGUGUACAGGUGGUGC